GCCCCGGGCGCCCACUUGGGUGCCCCCAGCCCCGCGGGGCCGUGGGCCUGAGGACGCUCGGCGGGCACAGGCCUGGUCAUUCGUUCGUCCAUUCAUUCACUCACUCCUUGAGCUGACUCAGGAAUAGAGAUGGGUUGUCUGCGGAUCCUAGAACAAGUUCUGGAGAUGGUGAACAGAUGGCCAAGCAGAAUUGCCAUAAUCCUCGAUAGCAAGAGGCAGCUUACCUUGUGGAAACUUGGGCCUCUCUUCUGACGACUGUAGGGAUUAAGAGAACAAGGAAUGGCAUGGGGGACAGUCCCCUCUAGGGGACAGGCAAGCCCCUGCCCAUCAUGUGACAACCCACCUGCCCCCACAGAUUUCCAGCACGCCUUCUGGUGAACCACUGGCCCAUUUCCACGCACUGAAGAUAAGCUAUAACUAUGCUGAUUGGAAGAAAUACAGCAAGAUGAGUGCUGUCCGCUGGAUGUGAGUACAUUCAUGACUUCAGACUUUCCGGGAGCCGCAUUUAAAAACAAGAAACCCGAGAUCGUCCCUUUCCACAAAACAGUCGAUGCCGUGCUGUGAAAUGUGUAGCAACGUUGCGGCUCCUGCCUAAUCGCCCGGUAGCCCUGGCCAAGUGUCACGUAAUCCAGAUCACAUCCAACAUGGACAUCCAACAUGUAAACGCAUAACGUCGACAUUCCAACGUGAGGAGCGCCAUUGGGCAGCACCAUCAGUUGUCAAGUGAAUGGCCUAGCAGUUGAGUGCUAUAGCAUCUCUACAAGGUCUAAAUAAAUAAUAAUGUGGAAAGAGAGCCGUUUGCUGGAUGCAAGAUGCCAGCUGUAGUUUCAAGGAAAUGUUGAUUGCAUGCUUUAGGAGCUACUCCACAAAGCCAUGCUCCAGUGUGUGUUUUCCUUGUAAGGUAGCAGGAGAGAAAGAGACACUUUUAUUUUUGCCUGCAGUUUAUUGUUUCCUCCUCAGCAGCUGUGCCGACGUGGUGUUGAUUAUGCAGAGAAGAAUUAUUUUGAUUAUUGACAGUUGGCAUUCUUCUCGUAAUUUCGAGUUCUUCAUCUCUGGUUCACUUCCUCACCUCCUCUCCUGCCCGCACAUGUAUAAAAACCUUGGAAGCUCUCGCUAGGAUUCUUACGCAUGGCAGCUGUGAGCAGCGAUGGAGUUGAAAGUUCAGGGGCAAUUUGACACGACACUCUUCCUCCUGGUCCAUCCCUUCUCUGAGCAUCUCUUUAGAGCAAGGGAGCCGGUGGGCUCGUGAGGUUCGUGGUGAGCGUCGGAAAGGCCUGUCCGUGAAGAAGCCAGGUUCCCUCGUGGGCCGCCUUGCCCCUGCAUCUCUGUCUGCUGGCAGGCGCCCCCUCUGUCCCAGCCACGUCCAUUCAGAGCUGUGUGCCAGUGGAGUGCUGGUUGGGGCUGGCUCAAAGGAAUAGCAGGUGGGAAGGAUCUUGUAGUUUUCCUUGGAACAAAGCCCGCUUAAGAAACAACGAUGAUCUCAACAAAACAGAAAAGAUCCCCCCUGGAGGUAAUCUUCACAUGAAGCAUGUGACUGAUUCCUGUGGAAUCCUCUGUCACCUCCCCUUGCCUACCUGUAUUUCAGCCUCAGAUAAGACACACUCAAGUGGCAGACUCCCACCUCAAAAGCUUUCUCUCUCGGCCAGGAGUUAAUGCCCCUGGGGAUAAACCUCCAUGAAGGCGAUCAGAAGAAACCAGUGGGAAAUGGCCCAGCUUCUCUUCCUUCAGGUGGGCAGUUCUGAGAGGCACUUUGUUUGCUUCUCAGACACCCUGGCCAAAUCAAACCAUGUUGCCUGCAGCAGUGACCCCAAUGUACUUCCUUGUCUCAGCUUUUUCUCUUUCCCUGGAUCACCUCCCAAAUGAACGACAUGUACCCGAGUCCUUGUCUCAGGCUCUGCUUUUGGGGAAAUACAAAAUAAAGCAGUGACAAUGAAAAGAUUAUUCUUCCCUGAACUUA